rnacentral:lncRNA from 1 species
AAUCUACAUUAGAAGUGGUGUGUUUGGUGGCUCGGUUUGUCUUGCAUAAAAGUCGAAUAGGUGGUGAGUAUCAGAUUAACCGUCACCGUUCAUUCGCCCCCUCCAUUGUCACAAGUGCUCGAGACCUGCCAUUGAUUCCAUCAAGGAGCUCGGCGAUGCGUGUGCCCAUCACAUCCUCGAGGAGAUCUGAAUCGGUUGAGGCCAAAUGGACCACUGCAUGCUCAUCGUGUAGACGGACAUUGGCGUCGACGGGUCCUUAAUUUUCGAGGCCAUCGCGAGGCGAGUCAGCCAGGGGAACGACACGUACAACGGUGUGCCUGUGAGGACACCGGCUUCUAGCUUGCAGAGCACGAAGAGAUACCAGCACCAGUGGAAGGAAAGAGAAUGGCAGCAGUGGUGGUGGAGUGCCUAGGAGAGAGGUGAGCAGUACCUCAUUACCUCAAUACAUGUGUGUUUUGGGGUUGGUGUAAAAAUUAGUUAAAUUCUACACCGACCAAACAUAAUACAUGUGUGUUUUGGGGUUGGGGUGUAAAAAUUAGUUUAAAUCCUACACCGCCCAGGCAUAAAUACAUGUUUGUGUUUGGGGUUGGUGUUAAAUUCUACAUCGACCAGACAUAGAUUGAGGUGGAUACAUAAGCAUUUAAACAAGACCUUAAGUGAAGGUAGCUAUGGUGAGAAUGCCGUAGCGCACAUGGCAGCAGGAACGAUGAGGGAGAGGUGAGCAGCACCGAAGCGCAAGCCAAACUAGGGUAGUGGAAAACAACCGCCCACCCCGUUCACAAGCUACAGCUAGGUUCGGGCUUUGGUCAGUGCACAACCUAAGCCAUGCUAAGAGCCAAAAACAUGAUCAAGUUGACUUGCUAAAGCUUAGAUAAGGGUUGGCCAACAAGUAACCAAACACUAAGGGAGUUGUGUGAUGUUGCGAGUUGAGCGGCGUUGAUUUACUAAAGUUGUAUGAGAUGCUCACUCUUAUUGUAUGGUUUUAGAGGCUAAUCUCUAAAGAAGAAACUAAUACUGCUUUUAUAACUUUAUAUUUUCUUCUUCUAAUAAAAUAAAAUUUGCCACGAAACGUCCUUUUCGGAUAAAAAAUCUACUCUACAGUAUAUGUACUCUUGUUCAUGUUGGAUAGCAACUUGACAACAGCACUAGCUGGAUGGGGGUAUUUGUUGACAUGUGACUCCUAUGGUGCCACACGGCUCUCGGCACCACGGCGAGGGACCGAGCUAGCUAGGAUCGAAGAAGCCAGGUUGCGGCCGGCGCUGUCCGUGUCGCAGGUAUGCUCGCCACACCACACCUGCGGCCUUGUUUCAAUUAAAAAAAACUUUGCAAUUUUUUUUUAGAUUUCACGUCACAUUAAAUUCUGCAGGACAUGCAUAAAACAUUAAAUAUAGAUUAAAAAAAUAACUAAUUAUAUAGUUUAUCUGUAAUUUACGAAAUGAAUUUUUUAAGCCUAGUUAAUCUAUAAUAGAACAAUAUUGGUUAAAUAUAAAUGAAAAUGUUACCGUAUAUAUUUUGCAAUUUGAUCGACCACGGCGCGUGUGCGUGUCGUGCGGUGAAAGGCUGCCCUGCUGCCUGCAGGGAGCGAUCGAAGCUGCGAUUCUGCGAGUGAGAGAGCCGGUACUGGAAGGUGAAGGAAAGGGCGGAUGCAGAGGGAGGCUGAUGACCGCGUCUGGCCCCGGCGAGCAGGAGCAGCAGUACAGUACAGUGGAGGCGUCAAUGGCGACGUGACCUGACAGCAACAGCAACAGCAACGGCAAAAAGCUAGAAGCCACCUUCGUCUUCCCUCUUCCUCACCCUAUAGCUUUCUUUCUGACCCUCUCGCCCUCUAGCUUUCUGCGCAGCUGUCACGCACGCACGCGUGCCCUGUCGCGUCGGUGAGGCUGGCUGGCCGGCCGCCGGCAGGUUCCGAUCCAGCUCAGAGCUCUUCGCUGCAUCGUGUCUCCAUUAUCUUGCGGUACUCCUGGCCUAGGAGUGCGACAGUGAAAACACAGGUCACAGGCCAGGCCUUGUUUAGUUGGCAAAAACUUUGGUUUUUUUUUGCUACUGUAGUAGUUUCGUUUUUAUUUGACAAAUAUUGUCCAAUCAUAGAGUAACUAGGCUCAAAAGAUUCAUCUCACAAAUUACAGAUAAACUAUACAAUUAGUUUUUAUUUUUAUCUACAUUUAAUGCUCCAUGCAUGCGACCAAAGAUUCGAUGUGAUGAAGAAUCUUGAAAAUUUUUGCGAACUAAACAAGACCUAAGAGUGCGUCUGUGAGGGUGGCUCAGCUGGCCUCUGUGCUUACGGGCUGCAAGUGAGCGUGUUUAGGCAUUUGGUCCAGCGCGUUGUCUGACCCUCUGCAGCUAAAACAGCUCUCUCGACCUGGCUCUAGAGAUAUACUGGGGAUCGGUGUUGUUUUAGAGCCAGGCUCCUCGCAGCGCACAACGGGGGCAAGUGGAGAGCAAGAUAGUUUGUAUUUAGUGUUUUGGCCCGGCCCUAACAUAGUUCAUAAACACAGUCUCCUCUGGACCGGACCGUUUGUAUGCUAGAAGAUAAACAUGAGUUGUUGCAGCACUUGGAGCUGGUCUAGCGUGGGCUGGGCCUAACGAGCAAGUCAAGCUGAUCACGACCACCCUCACAAACGCCCCCUAAAUCUCGAAUAGUCUUUCGCAUCCUUUUCUCUCUGUAAACUUUUCUAAUUAGGUCUUAUUCGGUAAAAAUUUGGGAUUUUUGGGUACUAUAGCAUUUUUAUUUAUAUUUGACAAAUAUUAUUCAAUCAUGAAUUAACUAGGCUCGAAAAAUUCGUCUCACAAAUUACAGGUAAAUUGUAUAAUUAGUUUUUAUUUUCGUUUAUAUUUAAUACUUGCCCUCCAG